AUGAUGGAUGAGGACUCAAGUCUCCUCUUUAGGGAGGAGACUCCUAACCAAGCACCUUCCAUUGACAAACCCCCUGGAACCAGCUGGCAAGAGAGCCUGUGCAGGACUGAAAGACAAGCAUGUGCAAAGGCCCUGUGGUUGAAGGAGCAGGCUGGAGCUGUCCCAAAGAGAGCCAGGGCCAGUGUGGCAAGACGGAGGAAGGAUGCCAGAGCCAGACCACAGCCUGCAGGUCAAGACCUGCCUCUGCUUUGCCUGGGACAGUCCUCGAUGACACAGUCAUACAACAGGUGGAAUUUGUAAGAAGCCACCCCUCACCCUGCUUCACUCUCCCACAGGGUCCUCGUUUAGGAGAUAAGUGAUCUAGUCGGCUUUCAUGCCACAGGCCCUGCCAUCUCACCAAGGACCCCUGAGGUUCUGUAAGCCCUGCACUCACCCUCGCCCAGAUUUCCAUUUGUGAAUAGCAGGCAGGUGGCAACGAAGCAAGCUAGAUCUAGGGGCUACGGCAUCAGGACUGAUAAAGAUGCUAUUGAAGUCGCCCCGCCUCCCUCCAACAUCACUGCACGUACCUUUAAACACCCACAGGCUCCAGGAUAAAAUCCAGGUGCCCCUCCCCUGUCAAAUCCGACCCAGCCCCUUCCAGGUUUGGCUCCUCCUAGUGCUGCGCAGCGGGGCAUCACGGGCGCCCAUCACGCAGAAAUUCUCACCACUCCCGGAUGCGGCCAAACCCUGCGAUGCACCCAGGUUUCUGAUGCAUGCUGUUCCCACCAGCUGAACCACCGUCCUCUCCCACCAAGUCCCAUCCUUCUAGCGGGGUCCAGGAUUUUCAGAUGCAUCCUGUGUUCUCUGUAAGGUCCUUUCCUGUCUCCAUUUCUCCACUAUGACCUUGUGGACGCCAGGAGCAUGAAGGCUUGUCUUGUUCACAAUGAUAUGUCCCGUCUUUAGCCCAGAACCUGGAAGAAAGACUGCAGAAACGAGAGAAAGGGGAGAAAGGGAGGCAGAGGAGAAAAAGGAGGAAGUGAGAGAGGGAGGGAGGAGGGAGGAAGAGGAGGUUCUCAACUAUUUGAGCU
rnacentral:lncRNA from 1 species